UACGAAGGGGGCAAGCGUUGUUCGGAUUUACUGGGCGUAAAGCGUCCGUAGGCGGUUUGACAAGUCAGAAGUGAAAGCCCUGGGCUUAACCCAGGAAUUGCUUUUGAAACUGUCUUACUUGAGGCCGGGAGAGGCAAGUGGAAUUCCGAGUGUAGAGGUGAAAUUCGCAGAUAUUCGGAGGCACACCAGUGGCGAAAGCGACUUGCUGGAACGGUUCUGACGCUGAUGGACGAAAGCGUGGGGAGCAAACAGG
rnacentral:rRNA from 1 species